AGGACGAACGCUGGCGGCGUGCUUAACACAUGCAAGUCGAGCGGUAAGGCCUUUCGGGGUACACGAGCGGCGAACGGGUGAGUAACACGUGGGUGAUCUGCCCUGCACUUCGGGAUAAGCCUGGGAAACUGGGUCUAAUACCGGAUAUGACCUCAGGUUGCAUGACUUGGGGUGGAAAGAUUUAUCGGUGCAGGAUGGGCCCGCGGCCUAUCAGCUUGUUGGUGGGGUAAUGGCCUACCAAGGCGACGACGGGUAGCCGACCUGAGAGGGUGACCGGCCACACUGGGACUGAGACACGGCCCAGACUCCGUACGGGAGGCAGCAGGUGGGGAAUAUUGCACAAGUGGGACGAAAGCCUGAUGCAGCGACGCCGCGUGAGGAUGGACGGCCGUUCGGGUUACGUAAACCGUUCUUUACG
rnacentral:rRNA from 1 species